rnacentral:misc_RNA from 1 species
GAUGAAGAACGUAGCGAAAUGCGAUAAGUAGUGUGAAUUGUAGAAUUCAGUGAAUCAUCGAAUCUUUGAACGCACAUUGCGCCCCUUGGUAUUCCAUGGGGCAUGCCUGUUCGAGCGUCAUUUGUACCUUCAAGCUUUGCUUGGUGUUGGGUGUUUGUCUCGCCUUUGCGUGUAGACUCGCCUUAAAAUAAUUGGCAGCCGGCGUAUUGAUUUCGGAGCGCAGUACAUCUCGCGCUUUGCACUCAUAACGACAGCGUCCAAAAGUACAUUUUACACUCUUGACCUCGGAUCAGGUAGGGAUACCCGCUGAACUUAAGCAUAUCAAUAAGCGGAGGA